rnacentral:rRNA from 1 species
UACGUAGGUGGCAAGCGUUAUCCGGAAUUAUUGGGCGUAAAGAGCGCGCAGGUGGUUGAUUAAGUCUGAUGUGAAAGCCCACGGCUUAACCGUGGAGGGUCAUUGGAAACUGGUCGACUUGAGUGCAGAAGAGGGAAGUGGAAUUCCAUGUGUAGUGGUGAAAUGCGUAGAGAUAUGGAGGAACACCAGUGGCGAAGGCGGCUUCCUGGUCUGUAACUGACACUGAGGCACGAAAGCGUGGGGAGCAAACAGGAUUAGAUA